UACGUAGGUGGCAAGCGUUGUCCGGAAUUAUUGGGCGUAAAGCGCGCGCAGGCGGCUUGGUAAGUCAGAUGUGAAAUCCCUGGGCUUAACCCAGGAAGUGCAUUUGAUACUGCCUCGCUAGAGUACGGGAGAGGAAAGUGGAAUUCCUGGUGUAGAGGUGAAAUUCGUAGAUAUCAGGAGGAACACCGGUGGCGAAGGCGACUUUCUGGCCCGAUACUGACGCUCAGGCGCGAAAGCGUGGGGAGCAAACAGG
rnacentral:rRNA from 1 species